rnacentral:rRNA from 1 species
AACGAACGCUGGCGGCAGGCCUAACACAUGCAAGUCGAGCGAGCAUUUCGGUGCUAGCGGCGGACGGGUGAGUAACGCGUGGGAACGUGCCCUUUUCUGCGGAAUAGUCCUGGGAAACUGGGGGUAAUACCGCAUACGCCCUUUUGGGGAAAGAUUUAUCGGAGAAGGAUCGGCCCGCGUUGGAUUAGGUAGUUGGUGGGGUAAUGGCCCACCAAGCCGACGAUCCAUAGCUGGUUUGAGAGGAUGAUCAGCCACACUGGGACUGAGACACGGCCCAGACUCCUACGGGAGGCAGCAGUGGGGAAUCUUAGACAAUGGGGGCAACCCUGAUCUAGCCAUGCCGCGUGAGUGAUGAAGGCCUUAGGGUUGUAAAGCUCUUUCAGCUGGGAAGAUAAUGACGGUACCAGCAGAAGAAGUCCCGGCUAACUCCGUG